UACGAAGGGGGCUAGCGUUGCUCGGAAUCACUGGGCGUAAAGCGCACGUAGGCGGCUCUUUAAGUCAGGGGUGAAAUCCUGGAGCUCAACUCCAGAACUGCCUUUGAUACUGAGGGGCUUGAGUCCGGGAGAGGUGAGUGGAACUGCGAGUGUAGAGGUGAAAUUCGUAGAUAUUCGCAAGAACACCAGUGGCGAAGGCGGCUCACUGGCCCGGUACUGACGCUGAGGUGCGAAAGCGUGGG
rnacentral:rRNA from 1 species